rnacentral:rRNA from 1 species
GCUAUUACAAAGCCCUACUACCAACCCAAAUCAACUAUCAAUUUUUAUUAACCAAAACAUUAAUCUAACCUUAGUAUAGGUGAUAGAACAGUUAAUCCAGGCGCAAUAACGUUAGUACCGUAAGGGAAUAAUGAAAGAUCUACUUACAGCAUAACAAAGCAAAGAUUAAACCUUCUACCUUUUGCAUAAUGGUUUAGCCAGUCUACCCGGACAAAAAGAAUUAUGCCCGUCUCCCCGAAAUCAAGUGAGCUACUAUAAAACAGUUUACCAGAACCAACUCAUCUAUGUAGCAAAAUAGUGAGAAGAUUUUAUAGUAGAGGUGAAAGGCCUACCGAACUUGAGGAUAGCUGGUUGUCCAAAACACGAAUUUAAGUUCGACUUUAAAUUUAACUAAAGUACCAAUAAACACAAUUUAAAUUUAAAAGCUAUUCAAAAGGGGGACAACCCUUUUGAUAUGUGAACAAACUUUUUUAGAGGGUAAUGACUAGUAUUGAUUCAUUGUGGGCCUAAAAGCAGCCACCAAUUAUGAAAGCGUUAAAGCUCAAACUUACAAAUAACUUAAUACCCAUAAUUCCACCAAAACCCCUAAUUCAUUAUUGGACGAUUCUAUAAAUUCAUAGAAGACAUAAUGCUAAAAUUAGUAACAAGAAAUACUUCUCCCUGCACAAGCCUGCAUURGCAACGGAACAUCCACUAAUAAUUAACAAGCAAAUAAAAACAACCUUCCCACUAGCACUAUYAUUAACUUACUUGUCAACCCGACACAGGUGUGCAUCUCAUAAGGAAAGAUUAAAAAGAAUAAAAGGAACUCAGCAAACACAAACCCCGCCUGUUUACCAAAAACAUCACCUCUAGCAUAUCAAAUAUUAGAGGCNCCGCCUGCCCAGUGAGCUUAAACCUCUUUAACGGCCGCGGUAUCCUGACCGUGCAAAGGUAGCAUAAUCAUUUGUCUCUUAAUUAGGGACUUGUAUGARUGGCUUCACGAGGGUUUAACUGUCUCUUAUCCUCAAUCAGUGAAAUUGACCUUCCCGUGCAGAGGCGGGGAUGUACAUACAAGACGAGAAGACCCUGUGGAGCUUAAAAUUCAUAACCUACUUAAUUAACAACUUCACCCUAAGGGACUAACACUUAAAUUACGUAUAGGUUAUAAUUUUUGGUUGGGGUGACCUCGGAGUAAAAAUCAACCUCCGAAUGACUAAACCUAGAUCAACAAAUCUAAGUGUAACAAAACCAGUAAUUGACCCAUAUUUUGAUCAACGGAACAAGUUACCCCAGGGAUAACAGCGCAAUCCUAUUUAAGAGCCCAUAUCGACAAUUAGGGUUUACGACCUCGAUGUUGGAUCAGGACAUCCCAAUGGUGCAGCCGCUAUUAAAGGUUCGUUUGUUCAACGAUUAAAGUCCUACGUGAUCUGAGUUCAGACCGGAGAAAUCCAGGUCGGUUUCUAUCUGUAUAUUUAUUUCUCCCAGUACGAAAGGACCAGAGAAAUAAGGCCAACAUAAAUUCAUGCGCCUUAAAGACAAGAUAUGAAUUCAUCUAAAUAUCUUAACUUAUCCUCUCCAAACUCAAGAAAUAGAGCAA